rnacentral:rRNA from 1 species
GGCAGCAGCCGCGGGAACACCGGCAGCUCUAGUGGUAACAAUUUUAUUGGGCCUAAAGCGUCCGUAGCCGGUUUAAUAAGUCUCUGGUGAAAUCCUGUAGCUUAACUGUGGGAAUUGCUGGAGAUACUAUUAGACUUGAGACCGGGAGAGGUUAGAGGUACUCCCAGGGUAGAGGUGAAAUUCUGUAAUCCUGGGAGGACCGCCUGUUGCGAAGGCGUCUAACUGGAACGGUUCUGACGGUGAGGGACGAAAGUUAGGGGCGCGAACCGGAUUAGAUACCCGGGUAGUCCUAACUGUAAACGAUGCGGACUUGGUGUUGGGUGGCUUUGAGCUGCUCCAGUGCCGAAGGGAAGCUGUUAAGUCCGCCGCCUGGGAAGUACGGUCGCAAGACUGAAACUUAAGGAAUUGGCGGGGGAGCACCACAACGCGUGGAGCCUGCCGGUUUAAUUGGAUUCAACGCCGGACAUCUCUACCAGAGGCGACAGCUGUAUGAUAGCCAGGUUGAUGACUUUGCUUGACUAGCUGAGGAGUGGUGCAUGG